GGAGAGGUGGCCGAGUGGUUGAAGGCGCUCGCCUCGAAAGCGAGUUUGCGGUGACCCCGUAACGUGGGUUCGAAUCCCACCCUCUCCGC
rnacentral:tRNA from 1 species